UAUAGUUAAAAGAAAUAAAUAUAGGUGAUAAAAAUGAUGAUACUGUUUGUAUGAUAUGGGAGAAAAAAUAAAAUAAUAUAUAUAAUUAUUACGUUAAGAGACAGAAAAUAUAUAUCAAAUAUCGACGAUACUAUACGUAGUGUGUGAGAAAAGAGAGAAGGAAGAGGAAAAAACGAUAAUCGAAAAAUCGAAGAAACGAAGGGAAUAAAAAUUGUUAAUAUAUUGAAUAAAGGUAUGAAUAUAAUCCAUAUAAUUAUACGUAGGUUAGGUAUAUAACACUACAUGGUAUAUAUGUACUAUUACAUAAGUAUGGAAAUACACAAGAAGCGUAUAAAUAUAAUACGAACGAACUGACAAUGAGAUAUUGGAACACCUCGCACGCCCUUGUGACAAACAAGCGGCCACGACGACGAUAAUCGACACUCGAAAUAAUGGUGUGCGCUGAUGAUAAUGAUAAUAACAAUAACAAUAAUAAUAAUAGUAAUAAAAGGUAACAAUAAUAACAAUAACGACGACAACAACAACAAGACAAACGAUUAUCAAUGACAAUUUUUAUUGUUGUUCCAUUAUUAAAGCGGAAAUCCGCAUGUAUAAAUGAUAUCAUAACGAAACCUUAUUUUAUAUAUGUAUAGUAAAAUUAUAUCAAUUAGUGCUAUUUAUUGUACACAGGAGAUACUGAGGCCUGACGUAGGAAUAAAAUUUGAAAAAAAAAAAAUAUGUCAGAUAUGUAAUGAGAUUACAUACCUGAUUUAUUUUUUCUUUCGGUAAUCUUGAAUCUUUUUCAAUCCUAUCCGCGAUGAUUGUCAUGCGAAAGACGCGGAGGAAAUGGAAAAUCGGGAAAACGAAUUAUGAUCAUCAGGCCUCGGUAUCGCCUGGUUGAAAUUAGUGCGUGGGAAUCGCGGCGAGGACUCCGUGCAACAAAGCAAUAAUGUAUAAAACUGGGUAACGAGGAAUAUAGAUAUGAAAAUGGAUGAAACAAAUGUGAGUGCGUGUGUGCGAACGGGAGAGAGUGUAAAUGAGGCAAAAACAGGUGAAAAUAAGCCAAACAAAACAAAAAACAAAAAACAAAAAAAAAAAACAAACAAAAACCAAAAUAUAUGAGAAACUAAUAAUGCGAAAAAAAUUAACAUUUCGAGUAACAAUUUCAUUUCAAUGAUCGGAUCUGUCUUACGUUAAACCUGCGUGUCUGAAAAGGAAGAAAAACAAAAAAAAAAAAAGAAAUAGCGUUGCCGUGUAUAAUUCUAAAAAGUAAUUAACCGCAAUCACAUGUACACCGACCUACAUACAUAUUUAUUUAUAAUUUUUAAAAUUCAAUAAUUGCAUAUCAUCGAAUGAUCUCUACCUAUAUACAGUGUACACGUAUACAUAUCGAAAGAUUCAUCAAUUGUUAAUGAAAUAUGAUCAUCGUCACUAAUCGUUAGAAUGAUUAUUUUCAUUGAAAUAUCAUUUCGCUACCGCAUCUAUAUGGUUAACCAUCGAUAUAUAUAUACUAUGUAUGUAUAUGUAUAAUAGAAAUAGAUAUGUAUAUUAUAACAAUUGCCUGCAGCAGGGGGCUGAUUUCCAGAAAAUACAUACCUACGUCCAUUUAACAUAAAUUAUAUUAAUAUAAUGAAAAAUAACUAAAUAAUUUUACGUGGUAUAAUAUAUCGUAAGUGAUCCGGAGUUAUAUGGAAAGCAGCAAUUAUGCGGGUAUAAAUUAUCCGGGAAAUUUACACCACAUGUACACCGAACCCACGCGUUUGUCGUGCAAAUAGUGCGAGUGUCCCCCCAAACUGAGCCGGUGACUGUAAAUCACGUUAUUAAUUUAAUAAUUAAUACACCCCUAUAGAAAUUAUUCACCGAAACCCUGAGCCUAAAUUCACACCCGUUCAAUCGUCACCAUCCUCCCCGGGAUUCCGGAAGAGAAAUAAAAUGCUCGGUGUUGUAUUUUCCGAUUCGUCUGUAACGAAAUUCAUUCGAAAUUGCUCUCGUUUUAAGCCAGUAAAACUGAGGAAACGAGAGCAAAAAAUUAAAAAAGGAAAGAAUCAGUUUUAUAUAUAUUUUUUUUUUCUUAUCACCAUACGCGUAAUGCUCAUGGACCCGAUGUCCACACUUUUUCAUACCUCCCGUUAGAUUCAUUUUUGUUUUUUAUUUUUGAGAAAAAAAAAAAAAAAAAUGAAAAAACGUAGCGCAAUUUAUCGAACGUCUAUUACUACGUCUUGUAGCUGGUGUGUGCGAAAAACCGAAUGGAUAACGAAAAUGUGUUCGAGGAAAAUUGUACGACUGUAGGGAAACGUGACGUGGGAGAAAAAAUUUAUGCGGCAUACGUUUUCUGGCCCAUCCCAACUAACUUUGACUGCAGUGUCGUUCACAGUUUCGUCACGUCCGCGUUGCGGUUAUCGUUCAAUAAUUAAUAAGACUCACUUUCACGACGCGUAACGAACGUGAAGCUCGCCGAUGGUUUCGAACCGACUGCGCAAAAAAUUUUUUACCCGCAACACUGCAAACUGUGCAUGACGUAAAAUGUUACAUUUUUGUUAUACUUGUCGAGUCAUUUUUUUUAUCUCUAGAAGUUGUACUUUUUCAAACGUUUUCGUCUAUCCACGCCGCAGCAUAUCGGACUACUCGCGUUAUCGGACGGAGUAAUAGAAAAAAGACGAAUUAAUGAAUUAAUAAAUAAAACGUGAAUGCAUAAAAAUGAAUGUGAAUUAAUAUCUAAAUAAAUUAAUUGAGGAGCUAAGGAAAAAAAAAAUGACUAAGAAAUAUGUAAGCAGGUGAAAAGAAGAAGAAAAAAAAAAGAAGAACAUAUUAGUCGUAUAUAAGCUCUCAUUGUACAUUGAGCAUUAUACACGUUAAAUAUGUAUGGUGCAAAGGUUGUAGCCCGUUGUUUAUUAAAUAAAUAAUGUCUAAGAACUGAUUUGAGUCUAUUGAUACACAAUUAGAAUGAGUAACUUCUGAAAUAUUGUUAUCUCGCCGCGAAUACGGAAAAAUCUCCAGUUUUUCGAAAGAAUUUAACUCGCGCGUAGGAUUCAUUCCACCAGAAUAAAAUCAUUCCAAUUGGAUCUGGUGAGAUUUUUUUGAGAAGCUCGUCACCCAUGGAAAAACUCUUGAAUUAUCGGAAAUAAUCACCGCCGAAAAAUAACAAGACACAAAAUUUUUUCAAGGGUUCGUGUCUCCGCUAAACGUCGGUAAAGUAGAUGUAACUUACCAUCUGUCGAUAAUGUUGUAAAUGAACAAAACUUAAAAGUUUUUUUUUCGCUUUUCGUCGGUUAAGAAUUAUAUACAGAUACUAAUACGCAGAAUCAACCGAUUUAUCGUAGAAAAUAAUCGAGUAUCGGCCUCCUACCGAUGGGGAAAAAUGAUUUCGUAGGGCCCGGUGAAGUGCAAAAAAUUACGGUGAUUCCAGAUUUUCCUGCGGACGUCCGUUUCGUUGCAGUUAAGAUAUUUUAGUAGACAGUUGCACGGAAGAUUCGAAGAAGAUUAAACUUUUUCGUUUGAAAAUUAGGACCAUCCGCGACGCGAGAAAAGUGCAGGCAAUAUCGUCGGUCGGAGGGAAGAAAAGGUACACUUCGGACGGUUGCAACUUCGAAAGCGACAUACACGCAGGUGUAAACAUAGGUGAGUAUCUGGCACAACGCGAUCGAUAACGAAUCACCAUUUUAUUAAUAACGUUAAAACUCUGACGAGGGUCUUCUCGCUCGCUAAAAUUCCACAACUCGGGAAGGCUGGCCGGCAUUCCAGUAGUAGGUAGUAGGCAACCGGAGAAGCAGAGAGCGGUCGCAGAGCGAUAAUAGAGAAUAGAAAAUAAAAUAAAAGGAGCGGAAAGAGGCAAAAAAAAACUAAUACCCAAUGCUGAAAAUAUCAGAGUCCAUAUUAUCAGAAGAGUGAGGGACAGCCUACGAAGUCGUAUAGCCGUAUGUCCGCUGAAUACAAAAAAUUGGUGCAUUGGUGCAAAAUCACUUAUUCUACGGAUGCACAUUUAUAAUUGUAACAAAUACGUACCUUUGGUUCUUUCGGAUGUGAUUGAAGAAAUAUUUUAUUUAGAUUUGAAGAAUUAGACGAAACUAUCGUCGAUUAUGUUGUUGUCGGAUUGAUCGUCGGUGUACACUGUACAAAUAUGUUCGAAUGUAUUUCACCCCGUUGAUUCUGAAAAUAAAUAUUUGCCUUCAUUCGUA